UACGUAGGGUGCGAGCGUUAAUCGGAAUUACUGGGCGUAAAGCGUGCGCAGGCGGUUCGUUAAGUUCGUUGUGAAAGCCCCGGGCUCAACCUGGGAACUGCAAUGGAAACUGGCGGGCUUGAGUGUGGCAGAGGGGGGUGGAAUUCCAGGUGUAGCAGUGAAAUGCGUAGAGAUCUGGAGGAACACCGAUGGCGAAGGCAGCCCCCUGGGCUAACACUGACGCUCAUGCACGAAAGCGUGGGGAGCAAACAGG
rnacentral:rRNA from 1 species